UUAAUUAAACAUAAAAAUAAUUAAAGAAAUUAAUCUAUAUCUAAUAAUAUUAGUUGUAACGAUCCGAUCCGCUAGUAACAAUAACUCGUUGGGCCCAAACAACCGGUCCAAAAUGCUUAAGCCCAGUUAUUAUUAUUAGUGUGUAGAUCUUAUAUAAACUAAUCGGAAUCAGUAUCUCAUCCGAUGCGGGACUAUUGGGGGCGUAACAUUAGUUGUUAAGAAAAGCUCAUCAUAACAGUACUAGUAAAGAAAGCACUCCUUCGGCGUCUAUUUCCCCCGCUUCCCCCCUCCAACAUCAAACCAACAACUCUCAUCAAAUAAUAAUUUACUAGUUUAGAGACCCACACUUCACAGUGGAUACAAACUAUAAAAGUUAUAAA
rnacentral:lncRNA from 1 species